GCCACCGCAAGUCACCAGACCAAGCCAGUUGUCACUGUUGGGGUUUGCUCCUCCGGCCACAGUGGUUGCCGACUGGAAGGAGAAUGUUCUUUGAUUCGGGAAGGAGACGUAAGUCCUCUAUUUUGUGAAAGAAGAGAGAAGAGGAAGAAGAAAGGAAGAAGGAAGAAAAAGAAAAAAAGAGAAGAAAAAAUGUGAAAAAAAAGAAGGAAGAGAAAAAAAGGGGGCCAGAGGGAAAGCCAAUCUUUUGUGAAAUCGUCCCAUU
rnacentral:lncRNA from 1 species